GUCCACGCCGUAAACGAUGGGCGCUAGGUGUGGGAGGUGUCGACUCCUCCCGUGCCGCAGCUAACGCAUUAAGCGCCCCGCCUGGGGAGUACGGCCGCAAGGCUAAAAACUCAAAGGAAUUGACGGGGGCCCGCACAAGCAGCGGAGCAUGUGGUUUAAUUGGAUGCAACGCCAAGAACCUUACCAAGGCUUGACAUGGUCGAGAAAGCCGGAGAAAUUCGGUCCUCCUUCGGGACUCGAUCACAGGUGGUGCAUGGCUGUCGU
rnacentral:rRNA from 1 species